UGGGGAAUAUUGGACAAUGGGCGCAAGCCUGAUCCAGCAAUGCCGCGUGUGUGAAGAAGGCCUUCGGGUUGUAAAGCACUUUUACCAGGAGCGAAACGCUGUCGGCUAAUACCCGGCGGAACUGACGGUACCUGAGGAAUAAGCACCGGCUAACUUCGUGCCAGCAGCCGCGGUAAUACGAAGGGUGCAAGCGUUAAUCGGAAUUACUGGGCGUAAAGCGUGCGUAGGCGGUUUCUUAAGUCUGCUGUGAAAUCCCCGGGCUCAACCUGGGAAUGGCAGUGGAUACUGGGAGGCUAGAGUGUGUCAGAGGGUGGUGGAAUUUCCGGUGUAGCGGUGAAAUGCGUAGAGAUCGGGAGGAACAUCAGUGGCGAAGGCGGCCACCUGGGACAACACUGACGCUGAGGCACGAAAGCGUGGGGAGCAAACAGGAUUAGAUACCCUGGUAGUCCACGCCCUAAAGCGAUGCGAACUGGAUGUUGGUCUCAACUCGGAGAUCAGUGUCGAAGCUAACGCGUUAAGUUCGCCGCCUGGGGGG
rnacentral:rRNA from 1 species